CGGCAUUUGACUUUCGCCAGCUCCAAGGCACGCUCCCCCAACCCACGAGACAUCCAAGAUGGCGCCAGGCCCGCGCGGUUGGAGGUCACAGGCACGCGGAAGGGGCAGCCCUAAAGCACGGAGAUACGGAGGUGAUCAGCUAGGAGAAAACCAGCAUCAGCGAACGAGAAGAUACGGGCUAAAGAUGAUUAGGACUCAAGCGCCCUGACCCUAAGCCUUCUUUCCUGAGUCAUGAGACAGUCAAGGAAUAAUGGGCAUCAGUGACCUGAGUGGUGGGCUCUGGAUUCACAUACCUGGUUUCCCAAAUCGCUGUGUGACCUUGGGCAAGCUGUUUAAUCCCUCUAUAUCGAUCUUCUUUUAUAUAUUUUUGGAGAUCCUACUACAUGCCAGGUGCUGUUCUGGGUGCUGGAAACACAGAUGUGAAUAAAAUAAGACAAAAUCCUUGCCUCCUCAGGGCUGACAUUUUAUAUAAAUUAUGAAGCAUAAUAAUAAAAUGGGCAUCCAUUAAACAACCCCCAGUUUAAGAAAAGAAAAAAAUUACUAAUACCGCUGAGGGGGGGCUUCCCUGGUUGUCCAGUCGUUAAGAAUCCGCCUUCCAAUGCAGGGGAUGAGGGUUCGACCCCUGGUCGGGGAACUAAGAUCCCACAUGAUGCAGGGCAACUAAGUCUGCGCACUCAAGAGCGCAGGCCACAACUAGAGAGAAGCCUGCAAGCCACAGUGACGAACCUGCGUGCGGCAACUAAGACCCGACGCAAUCAAAAAAAUACCACCGAGGGGCCCCGCAUGCAUCUCUCCUAUAGUAAUCCUUGAAUUUUAUGUUUAUCAUUUCAAGAUUUUUCCUCAGAUUUUUACCGUAUUGCUUAUUUUGGUCUUUUUUUCCUACCAUUCUAAAAGUGAUAUAAUAUUGUUUGUAUACUUCUUUACUUGCUCAUUUCACUCAACAUUAUGUUUCUAAGAUUCAUUCAAGUUUAGGUAGGUAGCUAUAGUUUAUUCAUUUUCAUUGAUGUAUAAUAGCCCACCAAUUUGUUGAUUAAUUCCCCUGUUAAUGAGUAUUUAGGAUUGUUUCCAGCUUUUUACCAUUACAAACAAUGUUGCUCAGAGCAUUUCUCCUGGUAUACAUAGGCAAGAGUUUCUUCAGGGUACAUAUAUAGGAAUUGCUGGGUUGUAGCACAUGAAUUUUUCAACCUUUCUGGAUAAUGGCAAAUUGUUUUCCAAUAUAAGAGUUUAUGAGAGUUCGGGUUGCUACCCUAUCCUUACCAGCUUUGGUAUUUAGUCAAUCUGUUGGAUGUAAAAUGGUGGUUUGAGUUUAUAUUUAAUUAUAUUUGCCUGAUUAUUCACAAGGCUGAGCAUCUUUCCAUAUAUUUAUUGGCCACUCAUGCUUCUUCUUCUGUGAAGUGCCUAUUCAUGUAUGUCUUUUGCCCCAUUUUCCUAUUGGGUUAUUUGUCAUGUCCCUAUGGAUUUUAAGGAAUUAACAAAUAUAUAUAGCCUAGUCUUGAUUCUUUGUCAGUGGCAGCUGUCUCCUUCCAGUUUUUAGAGGGGUUGGGAUUUUAGUAGAGGCUUAAAGGAUGGAUAAUUUCAGUUCCAGCUCAGACUCUUCAAUUAGUUGGAUUAAUUAAUUCUUAAUUAAUUCAUCAAAUAUUUAUUGAAUGUCUAGCCAGACAUCAUGCUAGACUCUGAGAAUACAAACAUAUCCCACAUUGGCUCACCCCUUAACCACUUCCAAGAUCUAGCUGGGUCCAAGUCACUGACAUCUCCUGCUGGACCACUACAAUGGCCUCCUAGCUGUUCUACCUAUUCCAGUUUAGUCUUGCCAAGGUCUGCUCUCCACCCAAUAAGUAGUUAAAGUGAUCUUUUAAAAUGUAGAUCAGAUCAUGUAACUUAAAACCUCCCAAUGGUUUUCCAGUUCUCAUAGAAAAAAAUUCCAGGGUUCAGCUACAUGAGGUUUUGAUCCUCAGUCACACUAGACUUGUUCCCACUCAGGACCUUUGCUGUUUCCUCUGCCUAGAUCAGUCUUCUCCCAGAUCAUGCUCACUCUUUCAUUUCAUCUAGAUCUCAUCUCAAAUAUCACCUCCUUAGAGAGGCCUUUCCUGAGCACCUGAUCUAAAUAGCCACCACUUUCCCUUCUUUAUCUCAUUAUCCUCCUUCAUUUUUCUUUUUAGCACUAUCAUAGCUUUAUUGGUAUUUCUUAUUGCUUUUUUCCCCACUAGAAGAUAAGCUUCACUAGUGCAGAGACCUUGUCACCACUGUAUCCUCAGCAUUCAGAAAAGCGCCUGGCACAUAAUAGGCUCUCAAUAGAAAUUUUGUGAAUGAUUGAACAGUGAAUCAGAUAGAGUCCUUGCCCUUAAAAGGCAAAUAAUUUCAACACAAUUCAAUAGUGUUAUAAGAUGGGUAAGCACUGGUUGCUGUGGGAACGAAUAGGAAGGGCAUGUAUCCCAGUCCUGAGAACUAGUAGUCAAGGAAGGCUUCCAGGAAGAGGUGACAUUUACAAGAAACUUAAAGGACCUGUAUAGGAAGGGAAUGGAAGGAUGUUCCAUAGAGAAGGAGUAGUAAGUACAAAGCUUGAAGAGAGGGAUAAAGUGGUCUCUUCCACAAAGGGCAAGUAAUUCAUUGCGGUCAGAAUGAACAGUCGUGGGUGCAGCAGGGUGCAGAGACUGGUGGUUAGUGGCUAGAUCCUGAAGGAUCUUGAGCAUCAAACUAAGGAGUUUGGAUUUUAUCCAGAAAGCAUCCAGGAGCCAUUUAACCAGGAGAAUGAGAAGCUCAGAUUUGCACUUUUUUUUUUCCCAGGAGGGGAUGUGCUGAGAAAUUAGUUUGAACUCUCCAAAUGCUUUCACAAACGCAGGGGUCAGACUCUGGGUCACGAACAUUCUUCCUAGUUUUACUUAGUUAUUUAUUUUUUAAUAUCAGAUUUGCAUUUUACAAAGAUCAUUGUAGGUCUAGUGUGGAGAAUGGAUGAGAGGGGGCAGGAUUGGGGGUAUGGAGCGCCAUAAGGGGCUGUCGUCAGAAUCCAGGUGGGAGAUGGUGGUGGCCUGAGCUCUGAGGUGAUGGUGGUGAUGGGGAGAAGUAGAGAGCUCAAGAGGUUUAGAAGGAAGAAGCAGUGGGCCUCAGUGAUUGUUGUGGGGGAUGAAGGAGAAGAGAGCUGUGAAGAUGGUGCUCAGUUCUCUGGCCAGGGUCACUGAGUGGUGCGAUUCUCUGGUUGGAAAAGGGUCAGAGGGUUAGAGUGAGAUGAGCAGCCCCACCCCCUAAUAUUCGUGGGGCCCAAGGCAAGAUAAAAAAAUAGAGCCGACAUACCAAAUGUCUAAAUAUGUACAAGUUACAAAUCAAAGCUAACAAACUGUUACAUAAAACGUGUUCUACCCUGUUAUCUUGACAAAUAUAUCAAUAUCAGCUGGGAGACUUAUAUUUAGAAUCCUGGGACUCUUCCAGCCCCAAGUCUGACCCUCAGAUUCUCUUGCCAUUCCUGGCUCUGUCCCACUACCUGAGGGGCCUCACACCAAGGAGCGUACUUGGGGCAGCCUCACAUUUGAACUCCACCCCAACAGGGCUGGUGGUGUGCUCUCUGGCAGCUCCUUCUGUACUUUCAGGAAAUCGGACCCCAGGAAGAGGUCCCAGAAGUGGGCUUGGCGCUGCUUGGCAGCACCCUCUGGCAACUGGAGCAUGGUCUAGGAGCAGGGAGGCAUGAGCUCUAGGUAGGCACAUCCCCUUGGCCUUGAGUUAUCCUCCCUCUGCAGAAGGAAGAGGCCCUCUAAAAUAGGUGCCCAGGGUAGAGGUCCCUCUUGCCGGGUCUAAGGACAUGGACUCUGAAAUCAGAUAGACUGGGUUCAAAUCCCUAUUCUGAUAUUUAUUUACUCUUCUUUGAACCUGGGCAAACUCUCUGAGCCUGUUUGCUUUCUUGUAAAACGGCAAUAAUAAUAUCUACCUCAUAGGGUUAUUGUGAGAAUUAAAUAAGCUAAUAUGUGCAAAGCACCUGCCAUUUAUUUUUAUUUUAUUUUUAUUAUUAUUUUUAAAAUUUAUUCUUGGCUGCAUUGGAUCUUUGUUGCUGUGCGCGGGCUUUCUCUAGUUGUGGCGAGCAGGGGCUACUCUUUGUUGCAGUGCGCGGGCUUCUAAUUGCGGUGGCUUCUCUUGUUGAGGAUUGCCGGCUCUAGGCACGCGGGCUUCAGUAGUUGUGGCACAAGGGCUGCUCAGUAGUUGUGGCUUGGGGGCUCUAGAGCACAGGCUCAGUAGUUGUGACGCACAGGCUUAGUUGCCCUGCGGCAUGUGGGAUCUUCCCGGACCAGGGCUCGAACCCGUGUCCCCUGCAUUGGCAGGUGGAUUCUUAACCACUGGGCCACCAGGGAAGUCCAAGCACCUGGUAUUUAAUAACCACUGCUCAGUUUACAUUGUUUUUCUUCCCACUCACCACCAUGUUUCCCUCAAAGUAACCAUGGAGGCUGGGGAAAAAUAUGAAGUUUGUUUCAGGUAAAUUUUUCUGGGAGGAGUGGGUCCAGGAAAAAUGAGUUUAUAAAGGAAACAGUAAUAAUCUAGGCAACAGUAAUCCCAGCACAGCCUGGGACCAUAUGGGAGAAAGAGGGAGAGUAAAUUGUCUUGUAUGCAGAUGAAUGAGUAAUGGUAAUAGCGUAAUUGCUUUUACAAUCUGUUUGUUUUGCUGAGGGUAGCAGCUGGUUACUGUUUUGAUUCUUGCUUUUCAGGUUAAGAUACAGCAAGAAGGUGUGAAUAAUCUAAAAGAAUAGAAAAUCCAAACAUAAUUUCUUGGGGACCAGGAACAUGGUCAAAGAAACACAUGGUUGCAAACACAGAUGGAUUCUGUCUUGCAAACACAGAGACUGGCCCUGUUAUUAAGCUGAUCUUGUAUUGUUGCUUAACGUGUGUAGAUUCUUAACCACGCGCUGUCACUCUUGCUACUCCUGCAACUGGAAUGCCCUUUCUCUCCUUCUCAGCCAUUCCAAAUUCUACUCUUUAUUUCAGGCUCACUCCUUCCAUGGUAAGCAUCCUUGCCCACAACCCUCCCCAGUUCUUCUGAGCUCUUCCUAGUCUAUAACACCUAGAACUUAUUCAUGGUCUUAACACGUAUACUGUCUCAUAUUGUUCUCUUAUCCUUUAAAAUUUUUUUUAAAAAAUUAAUUAAUUAAUUUAUUUUUGGCUGCAUUGGGUCUUCGUUGCUGUGCACGGGCUUUCUCUAGUUGUGGUGAGUGGGGGCUAUUCUUCAUUGCAGUGCACGGGCUUCUCAUUGUGGUGGCUUCUCUUGUUGCGGAGCACGGGCUCUAGGCACGCGGGCUUCAGUAGUUGUGGCUCACGGGCUCUAGAGUGCAGGCUUAAUAGUUGUGGCGCACGGGCUUUGUUGCUUCGUGACAUGUGGGAUCUUCCUGGACCAGGGCUGGAACCCGUGUCCCCUGCACUGGCAGGUGGAUUCUUAACCACUGCGCCACCAGGGAAGGCCCAUCCUUUUUAAAUUUAAAAAAUAUAUAUUUAUUUAUUUUUUUGGGGGGAGCGGCAUGUGGGAUCUUAGUUCCUUGACCAGAGAUCAAACCAGCGCCCCUACUGUGAAAGCAUGGAGCCUUAACCACUGGACCACCAGCAAAGUCCUGUUCUCUUAUCCUUUUAUGUAUGCAAGUCUUGUCUCCCCAAUGAGAGUUUAAGCUUAUUAAGGGAAGGAACUACAUUUCUAUUUCUCUUCCAUUUCCCAUAGUGUCUAUGUAUUCAUUUAAUAUACAUUUACUGAGUUCCCAAGUGCCUGAACUGGGGUUCAGGUACUGGGGAUACAAAAAUGAAAUAUAUAUAUAUAUAUAUGUAUAUCUCCUUUUCACUAGUGGAGCUAGUAAUGGACUCACGGUUUGAUAACUGCCUACAGAAGUGUUGAGCAUAUAAUGGUUCCUCAAUAGAGGUUUGAUGGAUUGAUGAACCAUGCUGCUUUUCAACUAGGCAUUCAAUGAAUGAAUGAAUGAAUGAAAUAACUGGAUGACAAUCCCCUGAUGCAGCUGUUCCAGGUGUACUCCUACUAUAUGAACCUAGUUCUAGCAGACGCAAAGGUGUGAGACUUGUUUGAGGGGAGAAAUGCUCUUUAGAGUCAUCAAAACAGAGAGCCUACUGUCUUUUCAAGGCAGUGUUCACUCCUUCCCUUAAGGCCUAGUGAUUAAACCACAAAACAUUUUACAGGCAUUGGUGAAUACCUUUUGCCAAUUUGUGUCAUUCAGGUUGUGAGUUAUGAGAACUGUCCAUUCAUCAUGGUAAAAAACAGCUAUUAUUGAAUACUUACUAUGUGCUGGAUGUUUUGCUGAUUUCUUUACAUGAAUUAUCUAAAUCCUAACAACAACCCUAUGAAGUCGGUAUGAUUAUUGUCCCACUUUACAGAAGAGGAAACUCAGGCACAGCUAGGAAGCAGGAAAGACAGGACUUGAAUCCAGGAAGUCUGAUUCCACACUGUGCUGGCUACACAAUGAAUUGGGAGAGUGGAGAGCUGAGUUCUUGAGCCAGCCCUGCUAUUUGCUUGCUGUGUGACCUGCAGAAAUCCUCUCAACUCUCUGGUCCUCGGCCCCUUCUGAUCACCAGUCUUAAAGCCUCUUCUUUUGAAUUCAAGUCCUCUGGUCUUUCUACCACCCUCAAUUGCCUAAAUCUGGUGGUAAUUUCCUGAAUCUCAUCUUUCAUCUCCUUGUAUCUCCUCUGAUGCAAUAGUAUCAGAGGCAGCUUGUGAUACUGUGUCAUUCAUAAGAGGAGUAUCCUUUUUGAGAAGUUAUAUAUGAAGACCUUAAUGGCUUCGUGAAUGUCUUGGCUGAUGGGAAGUAUGGAGAGAUCUGCAGAAGGACCCCUGAACCCAAUUUCUUCCUGUGACUCCAUCCCUCAACUCCUAGUUAAAUAAAAAUAUUUCCUAGUAUACAGGAUGCUUGUUAUCAUGGGUCCAUUCAGAGCUCAUAGCUCAUAGCGGGAUCUCCUCCUCGCGAGCUGGGUGACUUGCUCUCUGGGCAGGACCGGCUCUCCGCGUCCCUCCACCACCUGACCCCGCCGGCUCUCGCUUCCUCCCUUGCCAUCCCCGGGCCCUUUCUUCCACAUCCACUCCUCCUAGCUCCCCCUCGAUAAUCUCCUCACAUCUCUUCAAAUCCAAUUAUCGAAUUAAUUGACGUGCUAACCGAGAGGCAAACAGAAAGGGGCGGCAAACACCGGGCGUUUGAGGUUUAUCCUCCGGCCUCCACAGGCCCCGGCCGGGCGAGAUUUACUGGGCCUCGAACACGGCGACAGUUCAAAGCUUUGAUUAAUCAUGUUUUUCUCCCGGCCCCAUAAUUUAGUUGCUCUUUUUCCCUCCCAGACUUUUUUUUUUUUUAUCAGUGUAAACAGAGACGUAGUCCUCAUCAGCUUCAAUUACAAAUAUUAAGCCCCCGGACAGCAAUUUGACAGAGAGAGGCCAGCCCCCACUCCGUCCCGCCCCCCUAAAUCAUCCCCGAAUUAACAUCACAAUCGGCGGCUGGCGCGCGUUCAGAUUUAAAUGGUGGCAUAUUGUUCGCGGAUGGUCUAGUUCAGACCAGAGGGUUCGCAGCUCCAGGCGGCAGCCCCCGCCUCUCACUCCGCCGCUCCCCUCCUGCCUCCGGGGUGUUUGUGACUCAGGAACCGCGGGAGGCUCCGGCGCCCUGUCUCCAGCAGCUGAGGCUGCAGGCGGGGGUGCGCCGGCGUGUGGGGCAAGCCGGCUGGUGAGAGGGGUAGGGUGUGGGGUGGUGCGAGUCAGGCACGGGGAGAGGAGCUACAAACGUGGGGUGGCGGGGAGAAGGGCAGAGGCUGGUGAGUUUGGCAUGGGGCGGGGGGAGAACUAGGUUUAUGCAAAUGAGAUGCAAAUGAAGGCGCGGAAGCUGCGGGUUUGGGAAUGCCACGAUAUAGCCCCUAUAUGGCCGCCUUGACCCUUCGCAGGGUCUGCAGGGCACCCUUGGGUCGUGGUGGAGUGGCCAGGAGGUAGGGAAAUCUCUUGCUCUUUGAGGCUUGCGGUAUGAAAGAAGAACUUGGGGCAAGAUUUCUCCGUUUCCUGAGCAUGUUAGAGAAAAUUGGUCUUAAACUACAGCCGGGAGGCUUGAAGAUAGGCCUCAGAAAGGACUUCCUUAGUGGGAAGACCAAGCGUGAGGCUGGAAUACCUCCUGGAGAUUUUUUGGAUUAGAAGACCUUCGAAGCACCAGAUUUCUCUGAAGGCGUUUUGGGGAAACGAUAUGAUACUUCUUUGGCUCUGUACCACUGUGGAGGAGAAAAGGGAGAGUCAUUUCCUUGACCCCAUUAAUCCUUUAAGAAUGAAGGAGCUCAGGAAGAAAAAUGACAGUUCAAGAGUGUAGGUUUCCAGAUAUUUUCAUAUCCACCUGUCUCUCCGGUGUUGCCCACAUCGAUUUCCAAGACCUCAUUUCUGCCUAGCAACAUCACAACCAAUCAAGAUGCAAUUAGGCUUGGCAGCUCGGCUCAUCCUUAACUAGGAUUGGCUGCUCACAGUAUGCGCAUCCCAAGUUUUCAUUGGCUGACGGCCACCUGUAUGGAAAUGAGAAUUACAAGGGACUCAGCCGCUUCUCUGCGACGUGGACCUGUGGCUUAAUGCACUGAAACUUGCAAGCUCAGAGCCGGAACUCCUGGGCUUCUUCCCCCAAAGAGAUAUCUCAGACUUUUCCGUCGGCGCCUCUGCCUGAGGCCUAGUCUGAAAGAAAUUCGACGAAAUAACGCAUAAAAUAAGGCGAAUUUGUAUGCUUUUUGCGUCUGCUUUGCCUUCUCUCGGUUCAAUGUCAAGAUUUUGCCUCUUCCGUCCAAUGCCACGACAGUUCUUGCCCCUUUCUCUCUUCCACGUCCAUCUAAGGGGCGGCUUCUCUCCGUGUGGAGUCCCUCAGUCCCUGCCUCCUGUUGCCUCAAAUUCUCCCUUUGGGCUCAGCUCCUCCAAAUUCCCAAUUGCCCCCUUCGUCCCAUUCAGGAUCCAGGCAUCUCACACAACGAUCUAAAGCCCAGUUUAGGAGGGAGUUAGAGGAGUGGAGUACUGUCCCCCCCCCCCAAAAAAAACCACCCUCCAUCCUCACUCCCCAUCCAUUUUCUCCGAGGGAGCCGAGUUUGACAGCGAAUUCAUUCCGAGCGGGGAGGGUGAUUUAUUCUUCAAAUAUACCGACAAGUGCGGGCAUGAUGGAGCCCAUUAAAAUGUUGGGAGAUUGUUUUUAUGAUUGAAGUCUGUAUUACUCCAACCAUAAAGAAAGAGAGCAAGGAGUCAUUAGCAUUUUCAUGAUGGUGUAUUUCUGCUUGUCUCCCCGCCAUCACUCAUCUUUACUGCCCGUCCCUUUGCUCUCGCUCUGCUACAACGAGGAGAGACUGCAGCCUGAGUUGGGGUUGGGG